rnacentral:rRNA from 1 species
GAUGAACGCUAGCGGCAGGCCUAACACAUGCAAGUCGAGGGAGAAGCCUUUCGGGGCAGAAACCGGCGCACGGGUGCGUAACGCGUAUGCAACCUACCUUUCACAGGGGGAUAGCCCGAAGAAAUUUGGAUUAAUACCCCAUAAUAUUGUUGGAUGGCAUCAUCUGAUAAUUAAAACUGUGGUGGUGAAAGAUGGGCAUGCGUCCUAUUAGCUAGUUGGAGUGGUAACGGCACCCCAAGGCUAUGAUAGGUAGGGGUCCUGAGAGGGAGAUCCCCCACACUGGUACUGAGACAGGGACCAGACUCCUACGGGAGGCAGCAGUGAGGAAUAUUGGUCAAUGGUCGGAAGACUGAACCAGCCAUGCCGCGUGCAGGAAGAAUGCCUUAUGGGUUGUAAACUGCUUUUAUAUGGGAAGAAUAAGGUGUAACGUGUAACAUUGAUGACGGUACCAUAUGAAUA